UCUGGUUGAUCCUGCCCAGUAGUCAUAUGCUUGUCUCAAAGACUAAGCCAUGCAUGUGUUAGUAUAAAAGUUAUACUUGAAACUGCGAAUGGCUCAUUAAAACAGUUAUAGUUUAUUUGGUAAUCGAAUCUACAUGGAUAACCGUGGUAAUUCUAGAGCUAAUACAUGCUGUCAGCCCGACUUCACGGAAGGGCCGUAUUUAUUAGAUAACAGACCAAUAUUCCUCGUGUCUAUUGUGGUGAAUCAUAGUAACUAAACGGAUCGAGGGCUUGCCCUCGACAAACCAUUCAAGUUUCUGCCCCAUCAGCUUUCGAUGGUAGUGUAUUGGACUACCAUGGCUUUUACGGGUAACGGAGGAUUAGGGUUCGAUUCCGGAGAGGGAGCCUGAGAAACGGCUACCACAUCUAAGGGAGGCAGCAGGCGCGUAAAUUACCCAAUACUAAUUCAGUGAGGUAGUGACAAGAAAUAACGGGUCGGGGCUAACACCCUGGGACUGAAAUGAGAUGAAUUUACACCCCUUGUUCGAGGAUCAAUUGGAGGGCAAGUCUGGUCCCCCGU
rnacentral:rRNA from 1 species